rnacentral:rRNA from 1 species
GUGCCCGGACUGACGCUGUCGAAGUUGACCUGGAAAGGCACGUCAGAGAGGGUGAGAGCCCCGUGUGCGACACUGUCGGGAUGGGCCGCUACUGUCUUCGGAGAGUCGGGUUGUUUGGGAAUGCAGCCCAAAGUGGGUGGUAAACUCCAUCUAAAGCUAAAUACUGGCACGAGACCGAUAGCGAACAAGUACCAUGAGGGAAAGGUGAAAAGUACUUUGAAAAGAGAGUCAAAAAGACCGCAAAACCGUUAGGAGGGAAACGAAUGCAGCUGAAGUAGCUCCCCUUCAGGCUCAGGAAGUGUCGAAUCUGCUUGCUGGCCGCUGGAAGCCGAUAGGCGCCAGCGGUUGGACGGCUAGUCGACUGCUCUGCACUCCUGGGGGGAGCUGGCCAACAACAGUUGCCUCUGGCUCACG